AUUGGCUUGGGCUGCCCAUGGCCAUUGGUAACAAAGCAUAUUGGGUUCAGUUGCCCAUGGCCAUCAGCCACAAAGCAUAUUGGGUUCAGUUGCCCAUGGCCAUCAGCCACAAAGCACACUGCCUUUGGUUGCCCAUGGCCAUCAGUCACAAAGCGCGUUGGGUUUUGGUUCCUUUUCUCCUAACGUCAGAGUUACAGAGGAGGGGUAAUGAAGAAUGAGGAUCGAUGGAUUUUGUUUGGACAAAGGAAAAAAUACCAACAACUGUUUUUUUUUUUUUUCUUAAAAAUUCCCUUCAAAGCCAGAAAAAAAGAAAGGAAAAAAAAAAAAAAGGAAAAAAACCAACCCAAAAGUGUCUCCCUUUGUACAGAAGUAACCCAAUGUCGAGAAGCCAUGAGCAUCACAGUGAGGGCAGCGGGCGCCGCGCGCUCGGCCUCCUCCUGAAUGGCUUGUCAAAGCGAAGCUCUCACUGGGUCCGGGAUGCUCGGGGUGGAGAUGCCAAUGCCAUCAGAGUCGAUCUAAAGUCAGAAAAGAGCUAUCUACACAUGGGAAAAAAAAUCCUCUUUGCUUCAGCUGAGAAAAAAAACAAACAUAAAGGUUAAGUAGCAGCAGCUGCGUGAGCUGGAACGGUGCGUUCUGUCGGGGUGGGACCAGAAAUGAUCGUGGGAUGCGAUCGCUGUUGGGGCCGAUCCACACUCACUGCUCCUGGGGGGCUGUGCGGGGCCGUCUCCAAAGCCCUGAGCCCAUGCUCAUGGAGCUCCGUGUGCAUCCGGCCGUGGGCACUCAGAUGGGGGGGGGAGGGCAUGGAAGGGGUGGGCACUGAGACGGGGGGGAUGGGGCAUGGAGGGGUGGGCACUGAGAUGGGGGGAUGUGGACAUGGAAGGGAUGGGCAUUGAGAUGGGGGGAUGGGGCAUGGAGGGGUGGGCACUGAGGUGGGGGGUGAGGGCAUGGAAGGGAUGGGCACUGAGAUGGGGGGAUGGGGCAUGGAGGGGUGGGCACUGAGGUGGGGGGGUGAGGGCAUGGAAGGGAUGGGCAUUGAGAUGGGAGGAUGAGGGCAUGGAGGGGUGGGCACUGAGAUGGGAGGAUGGGGCAUGGAGGGGUGGGCACUGAGAUGGGGGGACGUGGGCAUGGAAGGGAUGAGUGUUGGGGGGGGUGAGGGCACGGAAGGGAUGGGCACUGAGAUGGGAGGAUGGGG
ensembl:lncRNA